rnacentral:tRNA from 1 species
CCUUCGAUAGCUCAGUUGGUAGAGCGGUGGACUGUAGAAAAUUGGGGGGUCAGCUUCUCGUUACAAGUGAGAGGACCGACUUAUCAAUAAAAAAGUGUAAGGUAGAAAUCCAUAGGCCACUGGUUCAAAUCCGGUUCGAAGGA